CCCGGGGUAGUGUAGCGGUCAGCACGGCGGCGCGUUCGGGGUAAACCCAUUCGCUCCAUCGAAGGUCUGAGUUCGAAUCCCAGUCCCGGGU